GAGUUUGAUCUUGGCUCAGAUUGAACGCUGGCGGCAUGCCUUACACAUGCAAGUCGAACGGCAGCACGGGAGCUUGCUCCUGGUGGCGAGUGGCGAACGGGUGAGUAAUGCAUCGGAACGUAUCCUGGAGUGGGGGAUAACGUAGCGAAAGUUACGCUAAUACCGCAUAUUCUGUGAGCAGGAAGCGGGGGACCUUCGGGCCUCGCGCUCUUGGAGCGGCCGAUGUCGGAUUAGCUAGUUGGUGAGGUAAAGGCUCACCAAGGCGACGAUCCGUAGCAGGUCUGAGAGGAUGAUCUGCCACACUGGAACUGAGACACGGUCCAGACUCCUACGGGAGGCAGCAGUGGGAUUUGGACAAUGGGGGCAACCCUGAUCCAGCCAUGCCGCGUGAGUGAAGAAGGCC
rnacentral:rRNA from 1 species